AGUAGGGGAGAGGCAGGUGGGAGGGCCGCAUCUUCCUCCCUGUCCUGUGACUCCCAGCUAGGAGGGCUCUCAGGAUACGUGGGAUGGGUGGCUGGGGCCUGAGGCCUAGGCAAGGCAGUGACCUGCCCACUGCCCCACGGAGGGGCCCAAUCAACCUCCUCUCCUCUGCCCAUUCCCCCCCUCCCCCGGGGCCAGAGCUUCACAGCCCCACAGAGUGGCAGGGGGCCCUCAGUGUGGGGAAGGCGUCACCUAUGCCAGACUGGGUUGAAACUGCUGGGCGACUCCGGCCCUAUGCCUCGACCCUGCAGAAAGCCGUCGGGUCAAACUCCAAGGCAUUCUGGCUGACCUGCGGGAUGUGGAUGGGCUGCCCCCAAAAGUGACUGGCCCGCCUCCUGGCACACCCCAGCCCCGGCCACAUGAAGACGUCUUCAUCAUGGACACUAUCGGGGGCGGGGAGGUGAGCCUGGGGGACUUGGCAGAUCUCACCGUCACCAAUGACAACGACCUCAGCUGCGAUCUGUCUGACAGCAAAGAUGCUUUUAAGAAGACGUGGAACCCCAAGUUCACCCUGCGCUCGCACUACGACGGCAUUCGUUCCCUGGCCUUCCACCACAGCCAGUCGGCUCUGCUCACCGCCUCCGAGGAUGGCACGCUCAAGCUCUGGAACCUGCAGAAGGCGGUCACGGCCAAGAAGAAUGCGGCGCUAGAUGUGGAACCUAUACAUGCUUUCCGGGCUCACAGGGGCCCAGUGUUGGCUGUGGCUAUGGGCAGCAACAGUGAAUACUGCUACAGUGGCGGGGCGGAUGCCUGCAUCCAUAGUUGGAAGAUUCCAGACCUCAGCAUGGAUCCCUAUGAUGGCUACGACCCAAGCGUGCUGAGCCACGUCCUGGAGGGCCACGGGGACGCCGUGUGGGGCCUGGCCUUCAGUCCCACCUCCCAGCGCCUGGCCUCCUGCUCUGCUGAUGGCACCGUCCGCAUCUGGGACCCCAGCAGCAGCAGCCCGGCCUGCCUCUGCACCUUCCCCACAGCCAGCGAGCACGGGAUCCCCACCUCAGUGGCCUUCACCAGCACCGAGCCUGCCCACAUCGUGGCCUCCUUCCGCUCUGGCGACACCGUCUUGUAUGA
rnacentral:sRNA from 1 species